AGCGAACGCUGGCGGCAGGCUUAACACAUGCAAGUCGAACGGGCAUAGCAAUAUGUCAGUGGCAGACGGGUGAGUAACGCGUGGGAACGUACCUUUUGGUUCGGAACAACACAGGGAAACUUGUGCUAAUACCGGAUAAGCCCUUACGGGGAAAGAUUUAUCGCCGAAAGAUUGGCCCGCGUCUGAUUAGCUAGUUGGUAGGGUAAUGGCCUACCAAGGCGACGAUCAGUAGCUGGUCUGAGAGGAUGAUCAGCCACAUUGGGACUGAGACACGGCCCAAACUCCUACGGGAGGCAGCAGUGGGGAAUAUUGGACAAUGGGCGAAAGCCUGAUCCAGCCAUGCCGCGUGAGUGAUGAAGGCCCUAGGGUUGUAAAGCUCUUUUGUGCGGGAAGAUAAUGACGGUACCGCAAGAAUAAGCCCCGGCUAACUUCGUG
rnacentral:rRNA from 1 species